rnacentral:rRNA from 1 species
GACGAACCGUGCGAACGUUGUUCGGAAUCACUGGGCUUAAAGGGCGCGUAGGCGGCUCGACAAGUCAGGGGUGAAAUCUUUCGGCUUAACCGGAAAAGGGCCUCUGAUACUGCCGAGCUCGAGGGAGGUAGGGGCGGACGGAACUUCCGGUGGAGCGGUGAAAUGCGUUGAUAUCGUUUGGAACGCCAAUGGUGAAAACAGGUAGCUGGGGAUGAGCUGACGCUGAGACACGAAAGCCAGGGGAGCAAACGGG